rnacentral:rRNA from 1 species
AUAGGAAUGCUUAGUGGCGGACUGGUGAGUAACGCGUGAGGAACCUGCCCUAGAGUGGGGGACAACAGUUGGAAACGACUGCUAAUACCGCAUAAGCCCACGGUACCGCAUGGCCCAUGGAAGAAAAGGUGGCCUCUACCUGUAAGCUAUCGCCUGAAGAGGGGUUUGCGUCUGAUUAGCUGGUUGGAGGGGUAACGGCCCACCAAGGCGACGAUCAGUAGCCGGUCUGAGAGGAUGAACGGCCACACUGGAACUGAGACACGGUCCAGACUCC